CUGGCUCCUCGGCCUUUUGGGUAAGAUCAAGUGUAGUAUCUGUUCUUAUCAGUUUAAUAUCUGAUAUGUCCUCUAUAUGAGGGCUACAUAUUAAAUUGAUCUUUAGAACAGGGAGAUGGAAGAGGGGCUUGCUCCAUCCGCUCCACCCUUUUUGGGGGCAGUCGUGGGCUGGGGGUUAGGGAACUGGCC
ensembl:snRNA U2 U2 spliceosomal RNA